AAAGCGUGCGCAGGCGGUUAUGUAAGACAGAUGUGAAAUCCCCGGGCUCAACCUGGGAACUGCAUUAGUGACUGCAUAGCUGGAGUACGGCAGAGGGGGAUGGAAUUCCGCGUGUAGCAGUGAAAUGCGUAGAUAUGCGGAGGAACACCGAUGGCGAAGGCAAUCCCCUGGGCCUGUACUGACGCUCAUGCACGAAAGCGUGGGGAGCAAACAGGAUUAGAUACCCGUGU
rnacentral:rRNA from 1 species